rnacentral:tRNA from 1 species
GGACCGGUGGUAUAGUGGUAAUACAUUGCAUUCGGACCUGGACGAAGGUGGUUCGACUCCCUCCCGGUCCA